rnacentral:rRNA from 1 species
GACGAACGCUGGCGGCGUGCCUAAUACAUGCAAGUUGAGCGAUGAAGAUUGGUGCUUGCACCAAUUUGAAGAGCAGCGAACGGGUGAGUAACGCGUGGGGAAUCUGCCUUUGAGCGGGGGACAACAUUUGGAAACGAAUGCUAAUACCGCAUAACAACUUUAAACAUAAGUUUUAAGUUUGAAAGAUGCAAUUGCAUCACUCAAAGAUGAUCCCGCGUUGUAUUAGCUAGUUGGUGAGGUAAGGGCUCACCAAGGCGAUGAUACAUAGCCGACCUGAGAGGGUGAUCGGCCACAUUGGGACUGAGACACGGCCCAAACUCCUACGGGAGGCAGCAGUAGGGAAUCUUCGGCAAUGGACGAAAGUCUGGCCGAGCAACGCCGCGUGAGUGAAGAAGGUUUUCGGAUCGUAAAACUCUGUUGGUAGAGAAGAACGUUGGUGAGAGUGGAAAGCUCAUCAAGUGACGGUAACUACCCAGAAAGGGACGGCUAACUACGUG